AGUCACUUAUAAUUUUCUAUCAUAAAUUUGAUUUCCUGGUACUUUACAACAAACUGAUUUCACAAAACUUAGUUUAAGGACUUUCUGAAUAAGUAAAUCCCGACCCGCCCAAUUGGAACCAGUCUGAACUUGUUCUCCCACAAGGCUGCAAGAGUACCUGCCUGGCUUUUUCAUCGACAAACUACACAACUUGUAAGAAAUCAUUUUCUAUGUAAUGCUUAAGUGUGCGUUUUCCUCCUUGCGAUGCCAUAAGGUGUUUCAAAAUGUGCACGAAGCUCAAACAGUUAACGUACCGUCAAAAUGCCGAUUUUUAGUCAAAUAUGGCUUCUACGUGUUGGGUUUUACAACAAAUGACAUAUCCUUUUUAUUUACAAGUUUAUAAUUCAUUGACACCGCCGCCAUGUCUGUAAGAUGGCGGAGUCAGUCCUAUGAAAGUCUCCGUGUGUGAUGCAACUGCUCAGCCCGCCAUCACCUCAGUGCAGCCCCGUGUAGUAACGUUUAGUUACCCGAGUGUGUUGCAGCCAGUCUGUCGGUCAUAAGUGGUCUGUGUUGUGUGCUGGACUGUGUGCAUCCUUAAUAUUGCAUCGCUUUUCUUCUGUGUUCCCGCUCUGCUCCUACAGCGCUGAGUGCUGUCUGCUGCAGGUUAUACACUGAUUAGGAGACAUUCAGAUCAACGCAGAGGACCAAUUCAGCCUCCCCCACCAAGUUCUGUCAAUGACUACACAUCAGCAGAGACCAGAGCACAUGAAGACCUGAAGACACACAGUGUGAGGAUCUACGUUUGCCAUGAGCCAGAUGCAGUGGAAUCAUAAUCGAGGGAAUCCCUGUGCUGAAAUCUCCCGACAAUCUGACCAGAGGAUGAAUCUCCAGUACCCAGCGAGACUUCACAAAACCUUUGAGGUCUUUCAAAGACUGUUUGUUGGAAUUGACACUCAAAACCACCCAAAACCAUCCCCCAGGUUCAUGAGCCUCAAAAACAAGCUUCUAGCAUAGACAGUCAAACGUGAUUCAAAUGACAAACAUCCCUGCAGAUUUUAUCAGCUGUUUCCAAUAAAUGUUAAUUAGGUGAGUUGUUCAAACUGUAAAGUGAAACCUGUCUGUUGUCUGCUGACAAAAAAGAUAAAAUUACUUAAAUAUUGUUAUUAGAAUUGUACUAAUGACUUUAGUAAAAUGAGUCCAAACACAAAGAGGGACAGAGAAGCAGAGUGAAGCUAUUUCAACAAUAUUUCCAACACAUGGAGGCUGUUAGCUCACUGUCAUUCUUCAUCCUCCCACCAGAUGGAGUCAAAGUCAACAAAGCUUCAAAUCUUACACAUAGUGUCUGUAAGAACAUUGAUCAGAUCAUUAGUGUCUGGAUCAAUGAUUGAAAAUGACACUGCAGGCUGAUGUGUGUUGUGGGUUUGUGUUAGUUGACGACGUAUCAUCUCUGGUUACAGAGAGUUGAAGUGCUGGGAGUCAGCAGAUAUCACAAACACAAACAGCAGAUACAUCAGUGAGCCCACUUUUCUGCCCUUUCUGUGCUCAAACUGAUUAUUAAAGUCAAACUGGAUGAACAUGAAGCAUCUGAUACUAAUAGUCAACAGCUGUGUGUGAUAACUUGUAUUUUAUGCAUAAUGAUGACAGCCUGCAGGUGCUGCAGCUCUUCUAUUCUGCUUCACUGUCUUAAAAAUAUAUGAUGUUUCAAAUCCAUUAAAGUCAUGAUUGAG